CGUUCUGGCUCUUUAAGCUUUCCUGUCGCUCUCUCUCACACGUUCUCCCGCUCUUAGAGCUGCCAGAAGCCUCCCCUCCGGCUGUGGAGGCAUUGAGGGCAGUGCCCCCCCGCCCGCGUCGGCCCCGGGGCUGUGAGGGCGCGGUGCCCGAAGAGGGCACUCGAGGGGCUGCUUCACACCGGCCACAACGGCUUAGAGAGGGGCAAAAAGCGGGGUUAAAACUUUCCUCCUCCGAGAAGAGAAGCAGGAAUGCAAAACGUUGGGAUAAUUAAAUGCUUCUAAUCCAUAGCACUUGUCUUGGAGAGGUUCUAGAAUGGCACAGCAGAUGGCAGUAGCUUUGCAGUCCUUUUUCUGCAGAGAAGACUGAAGACUCAACUUCAGCAUUACAUCAGAUAUGCUGGUGAACGGAAUGUGCCCAGGACUUCUGCAUUCUCUGUGCCACAACCAGCGAGCGACUGACCUUCCUUGAGACUUUUCUGGCUGUUCAGCUCAAGGCAUUCCUUCUCCUUCAGUGGCUUAAGAUCUCCUGCAGGCAGUCACCAAGCACUGACUCUUCACCUUGACAGUGGCCUCCUGGGCCAAGCAACAGCACAGGGCGUGAAGCGGCCUGAGCCAGCAAGCAGGAUUUGGAAACCUCUCCCUGUUUGUCAGCUGCUGGGAGAAGGAAGACCUAGACCUGCUCAGAACUGCAGACUCGAAGAAGGCAGGACCUCACCAAGCUUUAGCAACCUCCUGACAUGUAAGGAGCUGACAAUACAGGCAAAAAACUCUUUGCGGCAUGAAUGAUUUAUGGCCGCUCUCCCAGCCUAAAAAUCAGGUGUCUGCACAUCAUUUGUAUAAAAAUUAUCACCUUAAAUUAUGUUCUGCUUAAAUACAAGUUACAGACUAUUCCAAUACAUUUGCUUUUGCUGAG